GACGAACGCUGGCGGCGUGCUUAACACAUGCAAGUCGAGCGGAAAGGCCCUUUCGGGGGUACUCGAGCGGCGAACGGGUGAGUAACACGUGAGUAAUCUGCCCCUGGCUUUGGGAUAGCCACCGGAAACGGUGAUUAAUACCGGAUACGACCACUUCUCGCAUGGGAUGGUGGUGGAAAGUUUUUCGGCCAGGGAUGUGCUCGCGGGCCUAUCAGCUUGAUGGUGAGGUAAUGGCUCACCAUGGCUUCGACGGGUAGCCGGCCUGGGAGGGUGGCCGGUCACACUGGGACUGAGACAGGGCCCCGACUGCUACGGGAGGCAGCAGUGGGGAAUAUUGGACAAUGGGCGGAAGCCUGAUCCAGCAACGCCGCGUGAGGGAUGACGGCCUUCGGGUUGUAAACCUCUUUCAGCAGGGACGAAGCGCAAGUGACGGUACCUGCAGAAGAAGCACCGGCCAACUACGUGCCAGCAGCCGCCGCCG
rnacentral:rRNA from 1 species